UUGUAAGUGUCUAAGGGCGCAUGGUGGAUGCCUUGGCAUCGAGAGCCGAUGAAGGACGUGGGAGGCUGCGAUAUGCCUCGGGGAGCUGUCAACCGAGCGUGGAUCCGAGGAUUUCCGAAUGGGGAAACCCAGCACGAGUGAUGUCGUGCUACCCGCAUCUGAAUAUAUAGGGUGCGGGAGGGAACGCGGGGAAGUGAAACAUCUCAGUACCCGUAGGAGGAGAAAACAAUUGUGAUUCCGCAAGUAGUGGCGAGCGAACGCGGAACAGGCUAAACCGCACGCAUGGGUAACCGGGUAGGGGUUGUGUGUGCGGGGUUGUGGGAGGAUAUGUCUCAGCGCUACCCGGCUGAGAGGCAGUCAGAAAGUGUCGUGGUUAGCGGAAGUGGCCUGGGAUGGUCUGCCGUAGACGGUGAGAGCCCGGUACGCGAAAACCCGGCACCUGCCUAGUAUCAAUUCCCGAGUAGCAGCGGGCCCGUGGAAUCCGCUGUGAAUCCGCCGGGACCACCCGGUAAGCCUAAAUACUCCUCGAUGACCGAUAGCGGAUUAGUACCGUGAGGGAAUGGUGAAAAGUACCCCGGGAGGGGAGUGAAAGAGUACCUGAAACCGUGUGCCUACAAUCCGUCAGAGCCUCCUUUUCCUCUCCGGAGGAGGGUGGUGAUGGCGUGCCUUUUGAAGAAUGAGCCUGCGAGUCAGGGACAUGUCGCAAGGUUAACCCGUGUGGGGUAGCCGCAGCGAAAGCGAGUCUGAAUAGGGCGACCCACACGCGCAUACGCGCGUGUGAAUAGUGGCGUGUUCUGGACCCGAAGCGGAGUGAUCUACCCAUGGCCAGGGUGAAGCGCGGGUAAGACCGCGUGGAGGCCCGAACCCACUUAGGUUGAAGACUGAGGGGAUGAGCUGUGGGUAGGGGUGAAAGGCCAAUCAAACUCCGUGAUAGCUGGUUCUCCCCGAAAUGCAUUUAGGUGCAGCGUUGCGUGGUUCACCGCGGAGGUAGAGCUACUGGAUGGCCGAUGGGCCCUACUAGGUUACUGACGUCAGCCAAACUCCGAAUGCCGUGGUGUAAAGCGUGGCAGUGAGACGGCGGGGGAUAAGCUCCGUACGUCGAAAGGGAAACAGCCCAGAUCGCCGGCUAAGGCCCCCAAGCGUGUGCUAAGUGGGAAAGGAUGUGCAGUCGCAAAGACAACCAGGAGGUUGGCUUAGAAGCAGCCACCCUUGAAAGAGUGCGUAAUAGCUCACUGGUCAAGUGAUUGUGCGCCGAUAAUGUAGCGGGGCUCAAGCACACCGCCGAAGCCGCGGCACAUCCACCUUGUGGUGGGUGUGGGUAGGGGAGCGUCCCUCAUUCAGCGAAGCCACCGGGUGACCGGUGGUGGAGGGUGGGGGAGUGAGAAUGCAGGCAUGAGUAGCGACAAGGCAAGUGAGAACCUUGCCCGCCGAAAGACCAAGGGUUCCUGGGCCAGGCCAGUCCGCCCAGGGUGAGUCGGGACCUAAGGCGAGGCCGACAGGCGUAGUCGAUGGACAACGGGUUGAUAUUCCCGUACCCGUGUGUGGGCGCCCGUGACGAAUCAGCGGUACUAACCACCCAAAACCGGAUCGAUCACUCCCCUUCGGGGGUGUGGAGUUCUGGGGCUGCGUGGGAACUUCGCUGGUAGUAGUCAAGCGAAGGGGUGACGCAGGAAGGUAGCCGUACCAGUCAGUGGUAACACUGGGGCAAGCCGGUAGGGAGAGCGAUA
rnacentral:rRNA from 1 species